rnacentral:rRNA from 1 species
AUACGUAGGUGGCAAGCGUUGUCCGGAUUUACUGGGCGUAAAGGAUGCGUAGGCGGAUAUUUAAGUGAGAUGUGAAAUCCCUAAGCUUAACUUGGGAGCUGCAUUUCAAACUGGAGGUCUAGAGUGCAGGAGAGGAGAAUGGAAUUCCUAGUGUAGCGGUGAAAUGCGUAGAGAUUAGGAAGAACACCAGUGGCGAAGGCGAUUCUCUGGACUGUAACUGACGCUGAGGCAUGAAAGCGUGGGUAGCAAACAGGAUUAGAUACCCUGGUCGUCCACGCCGUAAACGAUGAGUACUAGGUGUAGGAGGGUCCAACCUUCUGUGCCGCAGUUAACACAAUAAGUACUCCGCCUGGGAAGUACGAUCGCAAGAUUAAA